rnacentral:rRNA from 1 species
GUGCCCCUACGGGGGGCAGCAGUGGGGAAUAUUGCACAAUGGGGGAAACCCUGAUGCAGCGACGCCGCGUGAGUGAAGAAGUAUUUCGGUAUGUAAAGCUCUAUCAGCAGGGAAGAAGAAGGACGGUACCUGAGUAAGAAGCCCCGGCUAACUACGUGCCAGCAGCCGCGGUAAUACGUAGGGGGCAAGCGUUAUCCGGAUUUAUUGGGUUCAAAGGGUGCGUAGGCGGAGUGUCAAGUCAGCGGUAAAAUUUCGGGGCUCAACCCCGUCGUGCCGUUGAAACUGACGCCCUUGAGUGAGUGAGA